UGCUAAACAUGGCCAGAUGCCUGGAGG
rnacentral:piRNA from 1 species